CACUUACAACUACAAAAAAAAAUUAAUUAAAGAGAAAACCCCACCGGAAAACAAAUUUAUUUUCGGUGUGUAGAUUCAAGUACCCAACCCCUCUUUUCUCUCUCUCUCUCUCUCUCUCUCUCACUCACAGAACACCCCACCACGCCAAAACCCUCCCCUCUUUCCAGAUCCAGACCACCGAUCAGCUCUCUCUCUCUCUCUCUCUCUCUCUCUCUCUCGAACACACACGCACCCGUUGAAAACCCCUCUCUCCUCUCUCGAUCUCACCCCCAACCGUGAAACCCCCUCUUUCCGUCGAAUCUCUGACGAGUUUGUUGCCGGCAUGUUCAAGCUUCAAGUUUCAAGCCGGCUGAUUUUGAGAUUCCCAGUUUCCAGCAAGUUACAAGCUUUUCCGGUCAUUUUCAGGCGACUUAGGUGUUAGUCCGAUGCUUACAACGUGUUGGGCUUGCUAAGCCUGGUUCCCGCAGAUGUGCUUGUUAAUUUGGUCGAUUUCUAGAUAGGGGGUAUUACGGAUUUAUGGUAAUCGGUAAAUAGGUCAGUAGUGGAUGAAGACGGCAUAGGAGCCGGGCUAGGAGGAAGUGGACCUUCCACCUUUACCCCUAUUCAACUCCUCACUGUCGAAUCCAAUUCAUAGACCGCCCGAGCCCAACCCUAAUUGGACACAACUUUUUUUUUUUUGAUAAGCAAAUUUUUUUUUAUUAAUCUUCGAAUAUAAAAAUUACAAAGAUUAAAAAGACAAUGAUAAAUGAAAAUUAAUGCUGUUGAUUUUAUCACUCUUUUUUUUGUUAACAUCACUCUUCUAAGUGUAAAAAUACACUUGCAAGAGAGUUGCGUUAACAAAAAAAAAAAUAGUGGCAAAAUCAUUUCUCAAAAUUAAUUGGACACUGCUUUACCCGAACACCAAAGUCCUAUAUUUCCCCUUCCCAACCACCUUAGCCUAGCCCAACUGUAUUUCACUCGAUCUACAUUACAGUUAUCAGAACCCAAGUUUAUCAUAAUCUCCUUGUCAAAAUACGCGCAAGCUGGUUUGAAACACCUACAUUACACCAAAAAAAAAAAAAGAGUUUACCAUAAUCUUGGAGAAAAAGGGAACGCUUUGCUCCAUAUUAAUUGUCGCCUGUAAAGGAGGGGUAAUCUGGCUUAUUUUUGGCACGUUGAAUUACUUUUUCUUUAAAUUUUUUUUUUGAUACUCUUUUCUUUAAUUGUAAUGCUUAUUUUUUCUUGUUAUGAAACUUCCAUAUUUUAAAAGUUGGUGCGGACCCAUGCUAUAUAGGAUAACAUAUAUAUAUAAUCCAAGAGCAAUUGUGCUCCAAUCCACUUGUACAAUAUUAAUUUAAUUAUGUGAAUUAUGCGUUCUUA